GAGUUUGAUCCUGGCUCAGAUUGAACGCUGGCGGCAUGCCUUACACAUGCAAGUCGAACGGUAACAGGUCUUCGGAUGCUGACGAGUGGCGAACGGGUGAGUAAUACAUCGGAACGUGCCCAGACGUGGGGGGAUAACGAGGCGAAAGCUUUGCUAAUACCGCAUACGAUCUAAGGAUGAAAGCAGGGGACCGCAAGGCCUUGCGCGUUUGGAGCGGCCGAUGGCAGAUUAGGUAGUUGGUGGGAUAAAAGCUUACCAAGCCGACGAUCUGUAGCCGGUCUGAGAGGACGACCAGCCACACUGGGACUGAGACACGGCCCAGACUCCUACGGGAGGCAGCAGUGGGGAAUUUUGGACAAUGGACGAAAGCCUGAUCCAGCAAUGCCGCGUGCAGGAUGAAGGCCUCGGUUGUAACUGUCUUUGUACGGUAACGAAAGGACUCUGGCUACUACCUGGGCGACAUGACGGUACCGUAAGAAUAAG
rnacentral:rRNA from 1 species